rnacentral:rRNA from 1 species
GUCCUAGCCCUAAACGGUGCAUGUUUGCUGUAAGAGGAAUCGACCCCUUUUGUGGCGAAGCUAACGCGUUAAACAUGCCGCCUGGGAAGUACGGCCGCAAGGUUAAAACUCAAAGAAAUUGACGGGGGCCUGCACAAGCGGUGGAGUAUGUGGCUUAAUUCGAUGCAACGCGAAGAACCUUACCUGGCCUUGACAUGCAAGUAGUAGAACCGUGAAAGCGGGACGAGGUAGCAAUACCAGCUUGCACAGGUGCUGCAUGGCUGUCGU